rnacentral:snoRNA from 12 species
GCAGACUCACUCUGCACCCGGCAGCAUUCCCAGGGCGGGUGCUUUUGCCGUCUGCAGAGAAACGUACAGCGUGCGGCUCUUGACUGCAGGCGAUGCAGCUGCUGGGACACGGGU